rnacentral:tRNA from 1 species
GUUCCCAUGGUGAAAUGGAUAUCACGACGGUCUUCGGAACCGUCAUUGGGGGUUCGAGUCCCUCUGGGAACACAA